ACACAGAGCGUUAUACUGAUGGUUUAACAGGAGAAAUACACAAUAAUCACACAUGUGCACUUUGGUGACUUCCUCAUUUUAAAGUUAAUUCUUGCAGGCUGUUUGAAAAAGCAGCACAACUGUGAAGGAACUUCACUUCUCCAUACGUCGUUGAUCUGUCUGCUCAGAUGACCUGAAGAAAAUAGUUUCUGCCUCUCCUGACACACAAAGAUGGCUGCAGCUCUGACUCUCCUUCUCAUUGGCUGUCUGCUGCAGAGUGUCCACUGUGGAGAGUUUAAGGUCACUAUACCGCAGACUAUAGAGGUUCUCAGGGGAUCCUGUGUGACCAUCCCCUGCUCCUUUGAUAUAAAGGACGGAUUUGGAUCAGACUUAGAUGGAACCUGUAAAGCAAUGUGG